CGGGGGGGGCAAGCGUUGUUCGGAAUUACUGGGCGUAAAGGGCUCGUAGGCGGCCAACUAAGUCCGACGUGAAAUCCCCAGGCUCAACCUGGGAACUGUGUCGGAUACUGGAUGGCUUGAAUUCGGGAGAGGGAUGCAGAAUUCCAGGUGUAGCGGUGAAAUGCGUAGAUAUCUGGAGGAAUACCGGUGGCGAAGGCGGCAUCCUGGACCGACAUUGACGCCUGAUGAGCGAAAGCUAGGGGAGCAAACGGGAUUAGAUACCCCGGUAGUCCUAGCCCUAAACGAUGAAUGCUUGGUGUGACGGGUAUCGAUCCCUGUCGUGCCGAAGCUAACGCAUUAAGCAUUCCGCCUGGGGAGUACGGUCGCAAGGCUG
rnacentral:rRNA from 1 species